rnacentral:tRNA from 1 species
AAGGUUCUAGUAAAAUAAUUACAUAGCUCUGUCAGUGCUAAAUUACAGGUCAUAGACCUGUGAACCUUA